UAAGCAGGUGGAACAAAAUGUGUUUUUUGCAACAACGGCAAGAUGAAAAAAGAGAUGGGGUUGGUUGACUGCAAAGUAUGCAAGGGUUCAGGAUUGGUACUCUGCAAGAAAUGUGCAGGUUCUGGCUAUUCCCGAAGGUUAUGAGCUUUGAAUUCAGCUUUAUAUCUCAAAUCUUCUUCCUCUGACAUCCGCAAGAUCUUGUAACUAUCUUAUUUGUUCAUAGUUUUUAUCUUUUUAAGAAUAUUUUUAAUCAUAUAACUUUGUUUCCCUUUGAUGUGUCCUUGAUAAUUGCUAUAUACAUAAGCAUAAAAUGAAUCAAAGUUUAAUUUUGUGUUAAAUUUCGGUGUCAGUGAACAUAUGAAGUUGUAGCACCGUUCUUUGAUGCAUCAUUCAUAUCAUAGAUCAUAUGCUCAAAA